rnacentral:rRNA from 1 species
GAUGAACGCUGGCGGCAUGUAUAAGGCAUGCAAGUCGAGGGUUGGUAGCAAUACCGGCCCGGCAGACGGGUGAGUAACACAUUGGCAACCUACCUCUACCUCGGGCAUAACCCUGCGAAAGCGGGGACAAUUCCCGAUAGUUAUGCGGGGACAUAAGUCAUUCGCAUAUAAAGUUCCGACGGGUAGAGAGGGGCCUAUGGUCCAUCAGCUAGUUGGUAAGGUAAUGGCUUACCAAGGCUAUGACGGAUAGCGGGUGUGAGAGCACGACCCGCCUCACGGGGACUGAGACACUGCCCCGACUCCUACGGGAGGCUGCAGUCGAGAAUCUUCCUCAAUGGCCGAAAGGCUGAAGGAGCAAUGCCGCGUGAUCG